rnacentral:rRNA from 1 species
AUGAAAGAGCUGGAGUACAUAUAUUUGGUUUACUACCGAAAGCUGGUGCCUCAAGCUCUGCUAGCUACUAUGUUUGUUUAUUCCAAAGGUUGGGUGUUGACUUGGCUCAUCUCUUGUAUGGACAUUUUUCUGCGGAAUAGAUGUUACAGUUUCAGGCUGGAUCAAUUUUUGGGAGGAGGCCCUGGAGGCAUCUCUUAUCCAGAGAACAGAGACAGGGAGAACGAUGGGGUGGAGCGGUGGCGAUGUUGGAGGUUUCAGUUGAGGAAGAAGCAGCUAGAUCUAGCCAGGGCUCAAUCAUUUAGAAAGAUUACUGAAUGUUUGUCUCCCAGAUUCAGUUCCCUCUACUGUCAUAUCUCCUUUUGCAAUUUGCUGUAUGCACUUUAUUCACAACAGAAAUAUUUUUUCUUAUCAAUUGAAAAGGAAUCGAUAGCUGGACAAGCAGUGGAUGUAUUUUCCCGAAGUGGAACUAAAAGAUCUUAA